ACAUUGGGGUAGUGGUUAGCACUUGCAGCGAGAAGAUCUCUGGUUCGUGUCCCGGCUUUCCUGGGAUCUUUUUGCAUUGAGUUUGCAUGUUCUCCCUGUGCAUGCGUGGCUUUUCUCCGGGCACUCCGGCUUCCUCCCACAGUCAAAAAAUAUGCUGAGGUUAAUUGAUUACUCUAAAUUGUCCGUAGGUGUGAAUGCGAGAGUGAUUGUUUGUCUGUAUAUGUAGCCCUGUGACAGACUGGCGACCUGUCCAGGGUGUCCCCUGCCUUCGCCCGAGUCAGCUGGGAUAGACUCCAGCACCCCCUGCGACCCUAGUGAGGAUAAAGCGGUGUAUAGAGAAUGGAUGGAUGAUAUCUUCCGUGGGGACACGGGAAGAUAUCAAUUUUAUUGGAAAUUUACAUUACUGAUGAUCCGAUUUCCGACGCUCAUGAACGCAACUUCGUUGUCCAACUGCACCUGAAUGCACCAAUGACGUUGGUUUGAUCUUUUGAUUGUAUUUCGUUUGGAUUUGAAGAAGCUUUGAAGACGUUUCCUGAUGGAGGAGAAGACGAGCAGCUUUGUACCUUUGCGGUCCUCACACAUCGAACUUAAAGGAACAUUCCAGUGCUCUGGACAUGGACGUCAUAAUGAGUACGAUCUACACGUGGCUGGAGAACCCGGUGAAGUUUGAGAAGUCUCAUGGCAUUAAUAACACCCUGGACACAGAGAUGGUCCUGAAGUCCAACCACAAGGAGAAGGAGGAGACUCACGUUGUCAUUGUGGAGGGCUUCCUGCUUUACACCUACAGGUCUUUGAUCGACGUGCUAAACCAACGUUACUUUAUUUCCAUCCCAUAUGAAGAAUGAAGAAAGAGGAAGUCCUCUAGGAAGUAGACGGUGCCAGACCAUGUACCUACAACACAAGAACAUCUGCUCACUGUGAAAGAUUAUUGAGAGCAGCUUUUUGUGAUUUCUAUGCCAAACACUAUGAUGUUUGCUGAGCUGUGCACUAUUAAAUGACUUAAGAAUA